rnacentral:rRNA from 1 species
UCAGGACGAACGCUGGCGGCGUGCUUAACACAUGCAAGUCGAACGAUGAAGCCCAGCUUGCUGGGSGGAUUAGUGGCGAACGGGUGAGUAAUACGUGAGUAACCUGCCUUUAACUCUGGGAUAAGCCUUGGAAACGGGGUCUAAUACCGGAUACGACCAACCCUCGCAUGAGGUGUUGGUGGAAAGGGAUUUUGUACUGGUUUUAGAUGGGCUCACGGCCUAUCAGCUUGUUGGUGAGGUAACGGCUCACCAAGGCGACGACGGGUAGCCGGCCUGAGAGGGUGACCGGCCACACUGGGACUGAGACACGGCCCAGACUCCUACGGGAGGCAGCAGUGGGGAAUAUUGCACAAUGGGCGCAAGCCUGAUGCAGCGACGCCGCGUGAGGGAUGACGGCCUUCGGGUUGUAAACCUCUUUCAGCAGGGGAGAAGCGAAAGUGACGGUACCUGCAGAAGAAGCGCCGGCUAACUACGUGCCAGCAGCCGCGGUAAUACGUAGGGCGCGAGCGUUGUCCGGAAUUAUUGGGCGUAAAGAGCUUGUAGGCGGUUUGUCGCGUCUGCUGUGAAAGCCCGGGGCUUAACCCCGGGUUUGCAGUGGGUACGGGCAGACUAGAGUGCAGUAGGGGAGACUGGAAUUCCUGGUGUAGCGGUGAAAUGCGCAGAUAUCAGGAGGAACACCAAUGGCGAAGGCAGGUCUCUGGGCUGUAACUGACG